AGUGAACGCUGGCGGCAGGCCUAACACAUGCAAGUCGAACGAGUGGCGGACGGGUGAGGAAUACAUCGAAAUCUACGCUGUCGGGGGGGAUAACGUGGGGAAACUUACGAUAAUACCGCAUAAGAUGGAAUGAGCAGAUGUGGGAUUAGCGAGUGGGCGGGGUAAAGGCACACCUAGGCGACGAUCCGUAGCUGGUCUGAGAGGAUGAUCAGCCACACUGGAACUGAGACACGGUCCAGACUCCUACGGGAGGCAGCAGUGGGGAAUAUUGGACAAUGGGCGCAAGCCUGAUCCAGCCAUGCCGCGUGUGUGAAGAAGGCCUUCGGGUUGUAAAGCCCUUUCGUUGGGGAGGCGUUACCCGAAGAAGAAGCACCGGCUAACUUCGUGCCAGCAGCCGCGGUAAUAC
rnacentral:rRNA from 1 species